UAGAAUAAAAUAAGAUAAAGUUGAAAAAAAAAAUUUUGAUCUCAGAUUAGUGAAGAAGAAAGAGGAAGGAGGGGAGGGGGGUUGAAGGGGAAGGCGGAGGGGAAGGGAGGUGGUGGCUCUUGCCGGCGUCGGUUGCUACUACCCCCUCAGACGAGGUUGCCGAUGAUCUCGUCUGGACGGUGGCGGCCGCCGUCAGAUCUCCCCCUCUCUCUUCACAUGGGAAAAAAGAGAGACAGGGGGGGAUCUGAUGGUUGUGGCUCGGGCGCCGGUCACCACCGCCCAAACGAGAUCGUCGGCAACCACUGGUGGCAUCGGAGACCUCGUCUGAACAAGAGCCAUCGCCUCCCUUCCCCUUCACGCACACCCCCCAGCCUCCCUCUCUCCCCCCAUCCCCUCCCUAGUUGUGCUCCCUAUUCUCUAGUCUUUCGUCCUAUAGAUAAGCAAAUGUACUAAUUUGCAAUUUUCAAAAUUUUGAAGGGUACAGCUGCAAAUAUUUUAGAAAGGGUCGCCAGUUGAGCGAGUCAGCAAAAAAAAUGAGUAGGUUUUUUUACUUAACCAUUAAGUGCUUUUUCUACCUAAAUCUAUUAAGUUACUUUUUUGUACUUAUCAAACAAGCUAAAUUGUAUUAAGCGUUAAAAUUUUGAUUUCAACACUUAAUUUAUAUUAUCAAACACGCUCUUACCUACAACACAAGAAUUCGAAAUGCAAUAGAAGUAAUUCGUCGUUAGGGCCAAGAAAACGGCCUAAUGGAUAUUAAACCCCGUCUGCAUCUCUUGGUCUCACCGACCGAGAAAAAAAUCGUCGCGAUGUUUGUAAGCCGAAACCCGAAUCUAUCCGGCCCAAAAUAUCAAGCCCGGCCCAGAAUACCAAGUCCGGCCUUUCCGCCGAGGCCUCUGAGGAAAAACGAAACCCAACAGAUCAGAAAGCGCGCGCGCGAGAGGAAUCUCCUCACCCCGCUCGGCGCUCCGUCCGAAAAUGGGGAAGUCGACGCUUCCAUCCGAUGUCUAUGGCGGCGUUUGCGUCUUUCUUUCGAUAAUGCAUUCAACCGCCAUGAUCGCCUCUUCUCUUCAGUGUCUCUGAUCCUCUCGUUUCAGCUGCAUCAGCACAGCGUGCAGUGGUAAAACUUUCAACAUGAUACGGAUGCACUUUGUCCGAUUUGUCUCGCCUCUUCAGCUUCAUGGGCAAGAAAUAGAAUCGAAAACCUUGUGAACAAAUGCAUUGGGAGGUCUUCUUUCUCGUGCAGUUAUUCAGGUGUAGCUUGCCUGCCGUCAAAAAGAGUUAUUCAGGUGUAGCUUGACGGCCAAGUCUUUAAGAAAUUCAGUUCCUCGAUUCAUUACAGCAAGCAGCCUCUUGGGAUGAAGCAUUCAUGAAAUUUAACAUGACAUAGUGCGAUCAUUUGCAUAGGCAAGUGCAGCUGUAUUGGACUGUCAGAGGCUGAGCCCACAAAGCAGGGGACUGGUGCAAUGCACAAAUGAUCAUUGGAAGCCCAGAUACCCUUUACCUGAGCUGAACUUUCUGAUGUCUAUUCAUAUUCUUGGAAAUUCAGGCCACAGGUCCUCGACUUGUUAUAGCAUCAGGCUUUUGGAAUGAAGCAUUUACGAAAUUUGACACGAUAUAGUGCGAUCCUUUACGUAGGCAGCUUCCAACUAAGGGAUUACCACUGCACAAGUCAUAUUACCCCUACUUACAUCAACUUCUUGUCCAACUGGAAUGACUUUACCCCUUGGUCGUGUUUCUUCUGGAAUGGUUCAUACCUUUUUACUAUCUUUCAUUUCAUGAUUAGCAGCUAUGGACUAGAAAAACUUGGGAAGUGCAUAUGGAGGAGGGGAUGGAUAUAGUUCAGCGUCUUGUGUUAUGUUGGUGCAGAUAGGAUUGUCAGAGGCCGAGCCCACGAACCAGGGGACUGAUCAUUGGAAGCCCAUCCAUCUCCUCAACAUUGUGAUCUGAUUCUUGCUUUGACAUUAGUGACAUUAUUAUUAAUAGGAAUCUGGCAUAAAAGUUCAAAAGCCACUUUUUGAACAUGACAUGUGACUUCUUCACACAAUUCUGACCAA